rnacentral:misc_RNA from 1 species
AGCAAUCCAGGAGAUUUUGGUCCAACAAAUGGCUUCUUCCUUAACAAAAGAUCCAAAUUUUACAGCAGCUCUUUCAGCUGCCAUCUCAGGAAGAUUCAACCAAACCCGGAUAGAGAAAUGGUGAAAUUAGAAAUAGUAUCAUGAGGAUUGAGAGUUCAUACUUUACUGUCUUGUUUGUAGGUUAAUUUGAUAUUACUAAUGAUGUAUAUAAAUGUUAGAGACUAAGCCAAAAUCAAUAAAAAAAAAAA